rnacentral:rRNA from 1 species
GAUGAACGCUAGCGGCAGGCUUAACACAUGCAAGUCGAGGGGUAUGCUUCUUCGGAAGCAGAGACCGGCGCACGGGUGCGUAACGCGUAUGCAAUCUACCUUUUACAGAGGGAUAGCCCAGAGAAAUUUGGAUUAAUACCUCAUAGUAUUAUAGAAUGGCAUCAUUUUAUAAUUAAAGUCACAACGGUAAAAGAUGAGCAUGCGUCCCAUUAGCUAGUUGGAAGGUAACGGCUUACCAAGGCUACGAUGGGUAGGGGUCCUGAGAGGAUGAU